rnacentral:rRNA from 1 species
ACUGCUCAGUAACACGUAGCUAACCUACCCUUAAGUCAGGGAUACCCUCGGGAAACUGAGGCUAAUACCUGAUAGGGGCAAAAUCCUGGAAUGAAUUUGCCCUCAAACUCGUGCUUAAGGAUGGGGCUGCGGCGGAUUAGCUUGUUGGCGGGGUAAUAGCCCACCAAGGCGAUGAUCCGUAAGGGUUCUUAGCGGAAGGGCCCUGAGAGGGAAUCUGAGACACUAUUCCCAGCCCCACGGGGUGCAGCAGUUAGGAAUAAUCUACAAUGCACGCAAGUGUGAUAGUUUGAGCCAGAGUGAUUCUCAUUGAGAAUCUUUUGUGGAAUCUAAAAAGUUCUGCGAAUAAGGACUGGGUAAGACUAGUGCCAGCCGCCGCGGUAAUACUAGCGGUCCAAGUCGCAGCCAUUUUUAUUGGGUCUAAAACAUCCGUAGCUUGCUUUUUAAGUUUCUUGUGAAAUCCUGUAUCUCAAAUACAGGGCGGGCAAGAAAUACUGAAAAGCUAGAGACUGGAAGACGUGGAGAGUACGUUUGAAGUAUCGGUAAAAUGAGUUAAUCUCAAACGGACUAACAAUAGCGAAGGCACUCCACGAGGACAGUUCUGACAGUAAGGGAUGAAAGCUAGGGGCGCAAAACGGAUUAGAUACCCGUGUAGUCCUAGCAGUAAACUCUGCACACUAAACAUUAGUACCUCCUCGAGAGGUAUUAGUGCUGAAGGGAAGCCGAAGAGUGUGCUACCUGGGAAGUAUAGUCGCAAGGCCGAAACUUAAAGGAAUUGGCGGGGGAG